AGAUGAGCCGGGUGUCAUCAGUCGCCUGGCUCUAUGCCCAACCUCUUUUUGCAUAAACACUUAUGGAUUCAGCCAAGAGGAAAAGCACUCUGAUUAUGAAUUGAGCAGAAGGAAACAAAGUUCUGCAGAUAAACACCAAUGAAACAAAAAACCACGAAUAAGAAAAAUGACAGAAAAGGAGAACCUUCCCAGAAUCCUCCUGCCAGUGAACGGUCACCAGAGCAAGAGCAUGGAGUCCCUGGGUUUUGAACUGUGAGAUAAGGAAGAUGAUGAAAACCUCCCUAGCAGCCAGCCAGGUACUAUUCUAGAUUGUCUUGUGAUAUUUACAAUCUAGGAGAAGGCAGGAGAGAGAACUAAGAACAGAGAGCAUGUUCUGAGAUGUCUGCUGUGUUUGCAGGAAUGACGGACGCUGGGGCUUUGAUGGGCACCGGGUGAAAUGGGCAGAGUGGCGCUUACCCGGGAUGGCGGUGAAGCGGGACCGGGAGGUCAUCGUGACAAAGGGUGGCAUGAGGUACCUGGCCUUGACGCCCUCCCCGGCUAGACGGUCCAGAUUGGGGGUGUCCACAUCCUGAUCCUAGUCCCAGCGGAAGCCCUGGAAGGAGAUCAGCAGCAGCUGUGAGUGCUCUUCCUCCCUGGGACGGGGUGGCUACUCAGUAGGACAGGCGGCAGCAGCUGGAGGGCCCCGAACCCUGUCAUCCCAUGAGCACCUGUCAUGCACUCCUCACAGAGAUCGUGGGCUUCUCCCUCUUUAAUCCGUUGUUGAACAACGUCCACAUUAAUAAUUCAGCCCAGCUCUGUUGUGGGACAAACAACCCGGAGUGUAGCAAGGUGCCGCAUAUUUGCAGGACAGGAUGAAAGCGUUCUGGAGAUGGAUGGGGGACAUGGCUGUACAAUGUGGUGGAUGCACU
rnacentral:lncRNA from 1 species